GUUGCUUCCCGCUCUCUCCGUCCGCGCCGCCAGCGAGACGGGCUCUUCCCGUGGGCGACGGUGCACGUAGUAGGUAUGUGCCGCUUGCUCGUCCUCGCCCCAGUUCUUCGCCUUUGCGCUUGAGCAAGCAGCAUUUUUUUUCCUUGCAAAUUAGCUAGGUUUCUUCCCCUACACAAAAAGGGGUUCGAUUUUGUUUCCGCGCGUGAUAAUUUGAGCUCGCAGCUUCCUUCAUCUUCGAUCGAUGCUGCAGUUUAAUUAUAUAAGACUGAUUAAUCGAUACCAUUUCUGAAGUGUCCAAAACUCCAAAUUGGUUGCUUAAAGAUAAGGGCGCUUAUAGGCGCCGGCGCACCGGCCGAACUGUUCGUCCGGUCAAGCCCCAGCCGCCCGAUACAUCCGUUCCCCACCGUCUGAUUGCUUUGUUUUAAAAGUCAAACAUGCAGAAAAAAAAACACGCACAGGAAACACAAAAAAAAGGACAGCGAGCGCGCAUGCCAGAUCUGUGUGCUCGCCGGCCGCUCGCGAUAGUCCUCGUCUUCCCGUGCUUGCUUUCCACCGCGCCACCACGCCCGUCACCCGCGCUCGCCUGCCGCUUGCCUGACGGUCGUCUCCGACACUUGCCUUGGCUGCCUCUGCUCGUCAUGGUUGCAACUCAAACACAGGAGGAUUCCAGCGCGCUGUCAUCAUGGUUGGAGCAUCCCUGGCGUCCCCGUCUCCGGCUCGCCGCCAUUGUCAACUUGCAGCGUCAUGUCUAGCAAAAAAAGCAAUAAAAAUCUCCAAUGCUGGGUUGAAGCAAAAAAAUUUGCCGGUUCCAGCAAAAAAUAAUGAUGGUUCCAGCAAAACUCUCAACAGCACAAAAACUCCAGUAGCAGAUUGUAGCAAAAAAAUUAGCUAGUUCCAGCAAAAAGAAACACUGGUUCCAACAAAAAAUCAUGCCGCUUCAAGCAAGAAUGUUUGCUGGUUCCAACAAAUUACAUGACACUGUGAUGCGUGUUGGAUGUAGCAAUUGAGAACAUUGGUUGUAGCAAAAACUCAAACGGUGGUAGCAAAGAAAUUGAUGCACUGGUUCCCCCCAAAAAACAUGGUAGCAAAAUAAUUGAUUGGUUCCAACAAAAACCGAGGUUGGUUGUAGCAAAAAUGUACAUUGGUUGUAUCAAAAACAAAUGACAUGGUUGCAAAAAUUUGGGUUGGUUCCAUAAAAAAGAAACGAACAUGGUGGUAGCAAAAUAAUUAAUUGGUUCCAGCAAGAACUGAAGAUGGUGGUAGCAAAAUUGAAAACCGGUUGUACCAAAAAGAAAAUGACAUGGCAGCAAAACUUCGAGUUGGUUCCAUAGAAAAAGAACAUGGUUGUAGCAAAAUCUUACACUGGUUCCAGCAAAAAUCAAGGGCGUCUGCAGCAAAAAUUGGGGCUGCUUCCAAGAAAAGAAAAUGAUGGAUCUCCAUCACUUGUCGCCGUGGUUGCAACGCCUCAACGUCGGCCGCCGCGGCUCUCCGUUACUUCUCGCCGCCAUCGGCAGCACCGGUGGGGGUUGGUUUGCAGCGCUGGUCGCUGGUGGGGCGUGAGGGGGCGGGGUGGGGGCAGCCACGGUGGGGGAGGCGCGGUGGCCA
rnacentral:lncRNA from 1 species